AUUGAACGCUGGCGGCAGGCUUAACACAUGCAAGUCGAGCGGAGAUGAGGUGCUUGCACCUUAUCUUAGCGGCGGACGGGUGAGUAAUGCUUAGGAAUCUGACUAUUAGUGGGGGACAACAUUCCGAAAGGAAUGCUAAUACCGCAUACGUCCUACGGGAGAAAGCAGGGGAUCUUCGGACCUAGCGCUAAUAGAUGAACCUAAGUCGGAUUAGCUAGUUGGUGGGGUAAAGGCCUACCAAGGCGACGAUCUGUAGCGGGUCUGCGAGGAUGAUCCGCCACACUGGGACUGAGACACGGACCAGACUCCUACGGGAGGCAGCAGUGGGGAAUAUUGGACAAUGGGGGAAACCCUGAUCCAGCCAUGCCGCGUGUGUGAAGAAGGCCUUAUGGUUGUAAAGCACUUUAAGCGAGGAGGAGGCUACUGAGACUAAUACUCUUGGAUAGUGGACGUUACUCGCAGAAUAAGCACCGGCUAACUCUGUGCCAGCCGCCGCCGUAA
rnacentral:rRNA from 1 species